CACUGUUGUACCGCCUGAAAUCCAAAGUCGACACCGCGGAUUCAUGAACUUGGACUAUCUCAUUCUGACCAGCGGUAUCCCCUCCGUCGCCACAGUCCCCACAUUUGCACGACCUAUCGCUACAGCCAGCCAAUCCCACUGGUGUGGUGUAAGCACUUUGAGGCAGCAAGAAAAGGUGAUUCCCGAGUGAUCACAGCAAUGGACACAGUUCACACCGCUAGCAAACGAAGAAAAUAGAAAGGUCCAGAAGAAAUGAAACAAAAAAGAAGGUUAAACUUGAAAGAGAGAUGAAGGAAGGCCGCUACUCAUUUAUCUCACGGUCCUGGAAACAUCAAUGGGAUGUAUACUAGGGCGGCACGAUGAGAAAGGAAAGAAGGAGCAUGCCAUCUAUUUGAUGAAUGAGUUAUAGCUA